UUCCAAUAACAUACUCUUUAAUCACAAGUUAUCUGCAUUUAAUAAUGCAGAAAUUAUAAACCCAUAUUAUUUAAAUCUCUCCCCCACUGAAGCCAUGAACUAGUUUCAAAAGCAGCAACAAAAGGAUGACAAAUUGUUUACAUAUAUACUAUAGAAAUACACACUGAACUGGCAAUAACAUCUUUACAAAGGUGAACAAAGGGAGUACCUGCAAGUCGCACCACUUAUAGCCAUAUAUAUAUAUUCAUACACGUGUAUAUGUGUGUGUGUGUGUGUAGCUUGAAGUGGUCCAUAUGUACACACACAUAUACAUAUAUAUAUAUAGAGAGAGAGAGAGAGAGAACGCGAGCAGACUAGGUCCUUUCUUGAAAGACUCUCUCUGUACCUUUUCAUCACUAAAUUAAAUCUCUAGGCUAGGGUGUUCAUAAGUUCCACUGUAACUUAGGAUUUGCUUUUUCCUCUUAACAAAACUGAGGCAUUUUUUUUUUUUUUUUUUUUUUGAGACACAGUCUCACUCUGUCACCCAGGCUGGAGUGCAGUGGCAUGAUCUCGGCUCACUGCAACCUCUGCCUCCCAGGUUCAAGCGAUUUUCCUGCCUCAGCCUCCCAAGUAGCUAGGACUAAAUGCAUGUACCACUACGCCCGGCUAAUUUUUCAUUUUUGUAGAGAUGGGAUUUCACCAUGUUGGCUAGGCUGGUCUCAAACUCCUGACCUCAAGUGAUCCACCCGCCUCAGCCUCCCAAAAGUGCUGGUAUCACAGGCGUGAGCCACCUGAAUUUAUUACAAUCAUUACAUAAGCCUUCACCACAAAGUCAUGACCAUUAUUUUUUUGCUGAAAAAAAAUUAUUUGCUUAAUGUUACGUAAAUUUGACUUAUAUAGCAUUUUAGUACCACUUAAGUCACUGUAUAAAACAGCAGGUUGGAGACUGCUAUCCUUUUGAGUUUGCAAGGUUCACCCUUGCUGGAGUGUGGGACCUUAGAUUUUGGGAGGCUUACUACUGCUCCACCCACCCAAAACAGGAGUAGCUCACUGCCCUGUUUUUCGGUGCCUUUUUUUCCCCCCAGCUGAAAGGGGGAUAACGUUUUCAGCUGAAAAGCUGAACCCCUGCUAACCUUCUGGAAGUCCAGAAUUGUGGGAUGUGCUAGAAAACAUGCCCAAUAAAAACCCUGGCACUGAGUCUCUAAUAAGCUUCCCAGUGGACAUAUAGCAUGUGUUGUCAUAAGUACCAGAUGGAACUUAAAUAAGGCACAUCCUGUGACUUCACUGAAACAAGACUCAGAAGAUUGUGCCUGGUUUUCUCUGAAUUUUGGCUUUUUCCCUUUACUAUUUGCUUUGUAUUUUUUUGCUGCAGUAAAUCAUAGCUGUUGAGUAUGACAGAAUGCUGAGACCUGAGUCUUCUCAGCAAAUCGUCAAACCUGGGGGUGUUCUUGAGGAUCCCAAGACAGUCAUUCAUAACAAUUUCUAAAAUCAUGUACAUCUGUCCAAAAAAGCCCAGGUAGGCCAGGUGCGGUGGCUCACGCCUGUAAUCCCAGCACUUUGGGAGGCCGAGGCGGGUGGAUCAUGAAGUCAGGAGGUGGAGGCCAUCCUGGCCAACAUGGUGAAAUCCCACUACUACUAAAAAUACAAAAAUUAGCUGGGUGUGGUCGCAGGCACCUGUAGUCCCAGCUACUCAGGAGGCUGAGGCAGGAGAAUCGCUUGAACCCGGGAGGCAGAGGCUGCUGUGAGCCAAGAUCACGCCACUGCACACCAGCAUGGGUGACAGAGUGAGACUCCAUCUCAAAACAAACAAACAAAAAAAGCCCAGGUAGAUUAUCUUUGAGGUCAAGGUAUGUCAUACAUGGUACCACCUAUACGCACAGCUUCAUGGUAAACAUUCUGUGAGGGAACCAAAAAUUGCAAUAAAGGCUGGGUGUGGUGGCUCAUGCCUGUAAUGCCAGCACUUCGGGAGGCCGAGGCGGGUGGAUCACCUGAGGUCAGGAGCGUGAGCCACUGCACCCGGCCUAUGUUCAGGACUUCAACACCCCUCUCAGCAACUGACAGAAAUGCUGGACAGAAAAUCAGCAAGGACAUAGCUGACUUGAAUAACAAUGAGCAGGAUCAUAGAGACAUUUAUAGAAACUCCACCCAGUAACAGCAGAACACCCAUUCUUUUCAAGCAGCUAUACGAAACAAGAUAGACCCUAUCCUGGGUCAUAAAAAAAUGUUAACACAUUUAAACAGUCAGAUCAAACAUGGAACAAAUUAGAAAUCAGUAACAAAUAUGCCAAACACCAGAAAAUUAAGCAUACUAUUAAAUAAUUCAUGGCUAAGAGAGAAUGUCUCAAAAAAUAAAAACUAUUAGAAUUAAAAUGUAAUGAAAACAUUAAAACUUGUGGGAUCAAACCAAUAGUGAUAUGAGGU
rnacentral:lncRNA from 1 species